CGGAGUCGGCAGCGGCGGCAGCGAGAGUUUGGCGCGAUGUCUCACACCAUUUUGCUGGUACAGCCUACCAAGAGGCCAGAAGCAGAACUUAUGCUGACUAUGAAUCUGUGAAUGAAUGCAUGGAAGGUGUUUGUAAAAUGUAUGAAGAACACCUGAAGAGAAUGAAUCCCAACAGCCCCUCUAUCACAUAUGAUAUCAGUCAGUUAUUUGACUUCGUUGAUGACCUGGCAGACCUCAGCUGCCUUGUUUACCGAGCUGAUACCCAGACAUACCAGCAUUAUAACAAAGACUGGAGUAAAGAGAAGAUCUACGUGCUCCUUCGUCGACAGGCCCAACAGGCCGGGAAAUAGUUGAGUUUGGAAGCGUUAGGGGGAUGGGGGUGGGCUUGGAACACCCAGGUGUGUACAGUGUGCUGUAGCAGGAGUUUUGUAUUACAGUAAAUCCUGUCUCCAUCUUGGUACACUCUAGCCAGGAUUGAGUGUAUUAGAUGAAACAGGAUCUUGUUCAAUCUGAAACCCCCUUUGCCCCCUUCUCUCCACUCCUUUUUUUUUUUUUUACUUUAACAUUUUUAUGACGAUAUAGGUGGAAGUUGGUUUUUGUCAGUUAAUGUUGUUUCCGGUCCUUCAGACUGUUCGUAUCUGCUUUAUAACAUUCACUGUACUAACCCUUCUUCAAAUCAGGGUGGGGGUGGUGACGCGGUUUAGUUACGUCCUCAAGACAAAGUCUUAGUGAGAAACAAAUAAAUGUCCUUUAGUUAAAAAAAAAAAAAA